rnacentral:rRNA from 1 species
GACGAACCGAGCGAACGUUGUUCGGAAUCACUGGGCUUAAAGGGCGCGUAGGCGGGCUGCGGCGUCCGGGGUGAAAUCCUCCCGCCCAACGGGAGAACGGCCUCGGAUACGGGCGGCCUGGAGGGGGUAGGGGCGGGCGGAACUGUGGGUGGAGCGGUGAAAUGCGUUGAGAUCCACAGGAACUCCGGUGGCGAAGGCGGCCCGCUGGACCCCACCUGACGCUGAGGCGCGAAAGCCAGGGGAGCGAACCGG